rnacentral:lncRNA from 10 species
GGGGGGGAAUGAUGUCCCUACAGGGCGGGGAGUGAUGGCGGGCACCGUUUCACCUGGACAUUCUUAGAGUCAGGCCAAGUCAUCUGGGCAGCCUCCAGGCAAAACUGGUCUGAAGGUUCUAACUGCUCUUCUGGUAGCUGAGCUUUCAAGACAGUUCCUGGAGCGGGCGCUGUGUGUCCUGCUUUUUACCAAAACCCCUUCACUCUGAUUCCUUGGCUGUGACAGGAAUGACUCCGAUUCGCAUAAUCGCUUCUCAGGUGAUGAGUCUAUGAAGCAAGGUGUUCUCUUUAUACAACUAUCUGGACCCCCGGUACAUUUGAAGGCUGAAUGCCUUUGUUGUGGGGAAGAGCUGCUCCGACAGAGAAAUGGCUUUCCUUGAGAAAAUGGCUCACUGCUGAAGAAGUCUCCAUUAUGAAGAGGCUUCUUCCUAAAUUAAUGAUUUGCUUCAGUGCAGGCUGAUCACAGAAAAUAAUAUAAGGUACAGAUCAAAGACUCCAAAUAUUAGAACAUGGGCUAUGGAAGAUCCAUCUCCAAGCUUCCCAACUUUCUUUUCCAGAGAUUAAGGAACAAGAUAGGAGACCAUGCCUAUGACUCGUCCCACUGAUUGUCAAGUAGAAACAGUGGAGGAAUUGGAAGUUAGUUUAGCUGAAAAGAAAACUAAAAGGAAAAUUAAAAAAUUUACAAAGUAUCACUUAUGAAAAUGCUCUUUAAGAGAAGAUUGAAAAUUAGACCAUUUCCACUCAAUAUCACCAAAACUAGACAAGACCCCUUCAUGAAGUCCUAGAGUCAUCUCUAUAAAUUAUGAUGCAUAAUAAAUAUAGUUAACAAGGAUGAUAAUCUGUUUGAUUUUGAUGUUGAGGCUUCUCACUGGAAAGGUCAACUACUUGUCUUUAUGGUGUGUUAUGGUGUGGUCACAAGCUCCCCUUGUACUUCAUAUUUCAUUAGUUGAAGUGGUGAAAAUUAAAUGUAAAUGACUAAAAUAUCAUUCAAAACUGAUAGCAGCCAUUGGACACUUUAUCUAUCUUGCUCAUUUUUAUCAUUUACACAUUACUUCACGUACUGGUUAUUUUUUAUUUUAUAUAUAUAUCAUAUAAAUUUUUCCCAUAUAAAAUUAUCUUUCAUGAGGACAGAAACUGCUAAAUAGAAUUAUAAAUAAAUGGGGAUAUUUUUAUAGUUUGUAUGGCUUGGUAUGCAGGCCACUUGUCUAAUAACUUCUGUACUGAUGUAUUGAAAGCAUAUUUAUGAAUAUGUUGCACAUCAUUGAAGGACAAAAGAUUCAUUUCCUUGUUAUAGAUGCCAUUACUUUCAUUUUAUAUGAGUGCAUUUCAUCAGCUUACUGCCAUUUCCUUGAAAUUAGCGAAUGAAUCUUCUUAUUUUUAAUUGAUAAAUUGCAGUUUAUCUGAGUGUACUUGCUGAGAUGACUUAACAAAAUGAAUAUGUAAGUGAGUCCGAGUUCAGAUUAUAGAUAAACAUGUCACUGUACAUCAGAAAAUGAACAGCACCAAUGAUAAUAUAGCAGUUUUUAUUAAAAUAAAUCAACUUUGAAAGAUAAUAACAUUCAAAAUGAUUGAUCUUCUUAGAGUAAAUUUUAAAUCAAAAUUAUGAUAUGAUUUUUUUGAAGGAGAAAUGACAGGAUUGGGUUUUUUUACUUUAUCCUUGCAAAUACUUGUAUGUUUCAUUUGGCACAACAGAUGAAUUCUUGUAUAGCUGUUUCUGUCCCAGUAAAUUAUUCCUAGGUUAAAUACUUGAAGGAAUAUUGCUAACUACAGGAAUCUGAUAAUGAAUUGUUUUGUUAAUAUAGAAUGUAACUAAAGUUUUCUUGUUAAAUGUGGCUUUUUGCUUUAAAAUUAAUUUUAAGGUGGAUUUGAAUUGAGUACAAUUUUUUAUGUAUAAUGUUGAUGGUUUGCAUUAGUGGAAAACCUCAGCCAAAUGAUGUACAGGACAUGGGACUUGCAAAACUUCCAAUAGUCACAAUUGCCUGGAGUCCUCUAUUUGCCCCCAAGAGCAGUAUUGUACACAUUAAUAGCUUGCUCAGGGCCAGUGGCUAACAUAUUUCUAUUUUACAAGCAGUUUUACCUAACUUCUAGUUACUGGUACUAAAAGCAACAUUUAGAAAAAUAAAUAGAAAUUAUAAACUUUGCCGGCUUAAACACGCAAAUGAAGAAGUCAAAAAUAAGUGAAUGUUCCAACAGGGAAGUGUACGUAGGAGACUGGAGUAGGCCUUUUAUUAAUGAAAGUACUUACUUUUUUCAAUUUCAAAACAUUUAUUCUAUCAUAAAUAUGUGUACACAUAUGGAAAUAUAUACAAUAUGAACAAAAAAUGUGUUACAAAUGGGUUCUUUUAUGUGUGAUGAUACACAAAUGUAUUUUUUUUGUAACUUGUCUACUCUCUUUACUUAAGUGUCUUUCUAUUUUUAUUGUGAGAUAUUGUUGAAAUUUUGUUGUAACGCUUGCAUUAUAACUUUUUGAAAUAUACUGAAAUCACACACAUAGAUGUACAUAAAGAAGUAUCACUAAAAGAUAACAGAAUAAAGAGUAUUAAACAUAUGUGAAUCAUCCAAAAUAAGGCA